rnacentral:lncRNA from 1 species
GUUAAAACAUCUAUAAUAAACAUUAUUUAUUUUUAUAGUUUAUAAACAUCUAUUAACCAACCAUUUCUUGGUUUAAGCAUUUCAAACUAGUGCUUUUUCUACUGCAUAGAGUUUGGUUUGUUUGUUUAUUUUAGUUACAUAUAAAAAUGCAGAAAGGUAGGCAAUUUGGCUGCUUGGCUGUAACAUUUAUAGAAGUAAACUAAAUUUCACCUGUCAGGACAGAAUUUAAAACUCCUAGAGGAAAAGUAGACCAUUAAAUAUCUUUAAAAUACUCUUUACACAGUUAUUUUCAACCAACUGCAAACAAGAGAGAUGAGUCAUCAUCUGGAGCACAUGGAUUAUGGGAGGAUUCCAAAUACCCUUCCCCAGUGCAUAUUCAAAACAUCCCAAGUUUAAAACUGGAAAUGCUGAUUGCUUCAGAGCCACUUAAAGUCAUUCCUUAGAAACAUCAUGCUCUUGCCAUUUUGUGAAAAUAUGUCCAAGAAAUGAAAU